rnacentral:rRNA from 1 species
UACAGAGGUCUCAAGCGUUGUUCGGAUUCAUUGGGCGUAAAGGGUGCGUAGGCGGCGCGGUAAGUCGGGUGUGAAAUCUCGGAGCUUAACUCCGAAACUGCAUUCGAUACUGCCGUGCUUGAGGACUGGAGAGGAGACUGGAAUUUACGGUGUAGCGGUGAAAUGCGCAGAUAUCAGGAGGAACACCGGUGGCGAAAGCGUUCUGCUAGGCCUGUACUGACACUGAGGGACGAAAGCUAGGGGAGCGAAUGGG